GCCUGGAUGGCUUAGUUGGUUAAGCAUCUGACUUUGGCGCAAGUCGCAAUCUCACAGCUCAUGGGUUUGAGCCCAUCUUCAGGCU
rnacentral:tRNA from 1 species